GGGGAAUUAGCUCAGUUGGUAGAGCGGUAGGUUCGCAAUCUACAGGCCAGGGGUUCGAGUCCCCUAUUCUCCA
rnacentral:tRNA from 1 species